UGGGGGAUAUUGCGCAAUGGGGGCAACCCUGACGCAGCAACGCCGCGUGAAGGAUGAAGGUUUUCGGAUUGUAAACUUCUUUUAUUAAGGACGAAACUUGACGGUACUUAAUGAAUAAACUCCGGCUAACUACGUGCCAGCAGCCGCGGUAAUACGUAGGGAGCAAGCGUUGUCCGGAUUUACUGGGUGUAAAGGGUGCGUAGGCGGCUUUGCAAGUCAGAUGUGAAAUCUAUGGGCUCAACCCAUAAACUGCAUUUGAAACUGUAGAGCUUGAGUGAAGUAGAGGCAGGCGGAAUUCCCCGUGUAGCGGUGAAAUGCGUAGAGAUGGGGAGGAACACCAGUGGCGAAGGCGGCCUGCUGGGCUUUAACUGACGCUGAGGCACGAAAGCGUGGGUAGCAAACAGGAUUAGAUACCCUGGUAGUCCACGCUGUAAACGAUGAUUACUAGGUGUGGGGGGUCUGACCCCUUCCGUGCCGGAGUUAACACAAUAAGUAAUCCACCUGGGGAGUACGGCCGCAAGGUUGAAACUCAAAGGAAUUGACGGGGGCCCGCACAAGCAGUGGAGUAUGUGGUUUAAUUCGAAGCAACGCGAAGAACCUUACCAGGUCUUGACAUCCAACUAACGAAGUAGAGAUACAUUAGGUGCCCUUCGGGGAAAGUUGAGACAGGUGGUGCAUGGUUGUCGUCAGCUCGUGUCGUGAGAUGUUGGGUUAAGUCCCGCAACGAGCGCAACCCUUGCUAUUAGUUGCUACGCAAGAGCACUCUAAUAGGACUGCCGUUGACAAAACGGAGGAAGGUGGGGACGACGUCAAAUCAUCAUGCCCCUUAUGACCUGGGCUACACACGUACUACAAUGGAUGUUAACAGAGGGAAGCAAGACAGCGAUGUGGAGCAAACCCCUAAAAACAUUCUCAGUUCAGAUUGCAGGCUGCAACCCGCCUGCAUGAAGAUGGAAUUGCUAGUAAUCGCGGAUCAGCAUGCCGCGGUGAAUACGUUCCC
rnacentral:rRNA from 1 species